rnacentral:lncRNA from 1 species
AAGAAAGCUCCUUAACGGCUGAGCAGACUCAACUGGGUGAUAAUCAUUUUCCCUUUAGCCCUUCCCCUCCCCCCGUUUCCUGCCUGGAAUGAGGUCAGAUGCCCCGGGUGGAAUGGGGACAACGCAUCCUGCACCCUAAGGUUUGAAAAUGCAUUUCCUGCUGAAACUGACCUGAGCCCGGGACCAGAGUGACCACUCUUGGUGUCUUUCUCCCUGACACACGGAUGACUGAUUUCUAGGGACUGGAGUGUCAGUGCCCACAGGAUGGCCAUCUCACGAAGACUGGCAGAGUCUGCAGCCAGGCGGGCAGGUGCCCCACAGCCAGUGGCUCUGCCAGGUUGGUGGGUGGGGACAAUUUCCUGAGCAUCUCACAGACAGAGACAUUCAUCUCCUUCCUCCCUGGAGGACCCGGCAUGGGCACUCAGG